GAACGAACGCUGGCGGCAGGCCUAACACAUGCAAGUCGAACGCUCUCUUCGGAGGGAGUGGCAGACGGGUGAGUAACGCGUGGGAAUCUACCCAGCUCUACGGAAUAACGCAUGGAAACGUGUGCUAAUACCGUAUACGCCCCAUGGGGGAAAGAUUUAUCGGAGUUGGAUGAGCCCGCGUCUGAUUAGCUAGUUGGUGAGGUAAUGGCUCACCAAGGCGACGAUCAGUAGCUGGUCUGAGAGGAUGACCAGCCACACUGGGACUGAGACACGGCCCAGACUCCUACGGGAGGCAGCAGUGGGGAAUAUUGGACAAUGGGCGCAAGCCUGAUCCAGCCAUGCCGCGUGAGUGAUGACGGCCUUAGGGUUGUAAAGCUCUUUCACCGGUGAAGAUAAUGACGGUAACCGGAGAAGAAGCCCCGGCUAACUUCGUG
rnacentral:rRNA from 1 species